rnacentral:sRNA from 1 species
AUGUACCACUCGUACACUCCGCUUCCUCCGCGCCAUCCACGCCCCACCUGACGGCUGCUCGCUACGCUUUGUUAGCC